rnacentral:rRNA from 1 species
GACGAACGCUGGCGGCGUGGAUUAGGCAUGCAAGCCGCGCGACGCUGCGGAGCAAUCCGUAGACGGAGCGGCGAACGGGUGAGUAACACGUGAGCAAUCUGUCCCUACGCUCCGGAUAAUUGGCCGAAAGGCCUCGUAAUACGGGGGAGGGUCCGUGGUGGGGCAUCCUACUGGGAAGGAAGGUAGUGGAGCAAUCCGCUACCGCGCAGGGAGGAGCUCGCGGCCUANCAGUUAGUUGGUGAGGUAACGGCUCACCAAGACGACGACGGGUAGCUGGUCUGAGAGGAUGGUCAGCCACAUUGGGACUGAGACACUGCCCAGACUCCUACGGGAGGCUGCAGUCGAGAAUCUUGGGCAAUGCACGAAAGUGUGACCCAGCGACGCCGCGUGGAGGAUGAAGGCCCUUUGGGUUGUAAACUCCUUUUAGAGGAGAAGAAGGGGAGCGCAAGCUCUCUUGACGGUACCCUCUGAAUAAGCCACGGCUAACUACGUGCC